UACGUAGGGUGCGAGCGUUGUCCGGAAUUAUUGGGCGUAAAGAGCUUGUAGGCGGUUUGUCGCGUCUGCUGUGAAAAUCCGGGGCUCAACCCCGGACUUGCAGUGGGUACGGGCAGACUAGAGUGUGGUAGGGGGAGACUGGAAUUCCUGGUGUAGCGGUGAAAUGCGCAGAUAUCAGGAGGAACACCGAUGGCGAAGGCAGGUCUCUGG
rnacentral:rRNA from 1 species